AUUGAACGCUGGCGGCAUGCCUUACACAUGCAAGUCGAACGGCAGCACGGGUGCUUGCCCCUGGUGGCGAGUGGCGAACGGGUGAGUAAUACAUCGGAACAUGUCCUGUAGUGGGGGAUAGCCCGGCGAAAGCCGGAUUAAUACCGCAUACGAUCCACGGAUGAAAGCGGGGGACCUUCGGGCCUCGCGCUAUAGGGUUGGCCGAUGGCUGAUUAGCUAGUUGGUGGGGUAAAGGCCUACCAAGGCGACGAUCAGUAGCUGGUCUGAGAGGACGACCAGCCACACUGGGAUUGAGACACGGCCCAGACUCCUACGGGAGGCAGCAGUGGGGAAUUUUGGACAAUGGGCGAAAGCCUGAUCCAGCAAUGCCGCGUGUGUGAAGAAGGCCUUCGGGUUGUAAAGCACUUUUGUCCGGAAAGAAAUCCUUGGCUCUAAUACAGUCGGGGGACGACGGUACCGGAAGAAUAAGCACCGGCUAACUACGUG
rnacentral:rRNA from 1 species